GACAAGGUUCCAGACCCUACGGGGUGCAGCAGGCGCGAAACCUCCGCAAUGUACGAAAGUGCGACGGGGGGAUCCCAAGUGUUAUGCUUUUUUGUAUGACUUUUCAUUAGUGUAAAAAGCCUUUAGAAUAAGAGCUGGGCAAGACCGGUGCCAGCCGCCGCGGUAACACCGGCAGCUCGAGUGGUAGCUGUUUUUAUUGGGCCUAAAGCGUUCGUAGCCGGUUUGAUAAGUCUUUGGUGAAAGCUUGUAGCUUAACUAUAAGAAUUGCUGGAGAUACUAUUAGACUUGAAGUCGGGAGAGGUUAGAGGUACUACCGGGGUAGGGGUGAAAUCCUAUAAUCCUGGGAGGACCACCUGUGGCGAAGGCGUCUAACUGGAACGAUCUUGACGGUGAGUAACGAAAGCCAGGGGCGCGAACCGGAUUAGAUACCCGGGUAGUCCUGGCCGUAAACGAUGUGGACUUGGUGUUGGAAUGGCUUUGAGUUGUUCCGGUGCCGAAGGGAAGCUGUUAAGUCCACCGCCUGGGAAGUACGGUCGCAAGACUGAAACUUAA
rnacentral:rRNA from 1 species